GACAGAGGUGCCGAGCGUUAGGCGGAAUCACUGGGCUUAAAGCGUGUGUAGGCGGGCGAUCAAGUACCUUGUGAAAUCCCACGGCUCAACCGUGGAACUGCCGGGUAUACUGGUUGUCUUGAGCCAGCUAGGGGCGAGCGGAACAGACGGUGGAGCGGUGAAAUGCGUAGAUAUCGUCUGGAACGCCGAAGGUGAAAACAGCUCGCUGGGGCUGCGCUGACGCUGAGACACGAAAGCCAGGGGAGCAAACGGG
rnacentral:rRNA from 1 species